AAGGUAGUUUGACCUGUCGCUGCUUUUAGCAGAGGAAAGUCCGGACAGGGAGGGCAGCCUGCUGCGGAAAGCGCAGGUGGGAGUAAUCUUACGGAUGCCGUAACAGAAAACAAACCGCCCGAAAGGGUAAGGGUGAAACCGCGAGGCAAGAGCUCACGACGCCGUGUGGCGACAUACGACGGUGACGGCACCAGGCCCUGCAAGACCAAAUAUACUGAUGAUGUUCCUCGGAACAAAAUGGACGGCCCGUUCACAUCAGGGGGUAGGUUGCGAAGAUAAAUGACAGGAUAAAACAGAAACCGGCUUACGGAACUGCCUUACAU
rnacentral:RNase_P_RNA from 1 species